rnacentral:rRNA from 1 species
CCUACGGGUGGCAGCAGUGGGGAAUAUUGGACAAUGGGCGAAAGCCUGAUCCAGCCAUGCCGCGUGUGUGAAGAAGGCCUUCGGGUUGUAAAGCACUUUCGGUGGGGAAGAAAGCCUUGGGGCUAAUACCCUCGAGGAAGGACAUCACCCACAGAAGAAGCACCGGCUAACUCCGUGCCAGCAGCCGCGGUAAUACGGAGGGUGCGAGCGUUAAUCGGAAUUACUGGGCGUAAAGCGCGCGUAGGCGGUCUGAUAAGCCGGUUGUGAAAGCCCCGGGCUCAACCUGGGAACGGCAUCCGGAACUGUCAGGCUAGAGUGCAGGAGAGGAAGGUAGAAUUCCCGGUGUAGCGGUGAAAUGCGUAGAGAUCGGGAGGAAUACCAGUGGCGAAGGCGGCCUUCUGGACUGACACUGACGCUGAGGUGCGAAAGCGUGGGUAGCAAACAGGAUUAGAUACCCCGGUAGUC